GCAUUCUGGGGGCUGUUUUGGCUUUUGGUUGCUUGCUUGGCUUUUUGCCGGGUGGGUCGCUACUAGUCAGGUGGUUUUCGGGAAUGUCGACCGGGAAGGUGCAUGAGUGGUGUUUGGUUUGUUACGGGUGGUUGGCUGUCUGCUCGCGCAGCAACGUCCACGCGUGCAUACCUCUUCAGUUUUGCGGCAAGGCUUCGAUUGUCUUGAGCAUAUUGUGGGUUUCCUGUGUUGCAUACCUAAUCGAUGGUAACGUGUGGGUUUUACGAUGUCCCUUUUCGUUAUGCGUCGCUCAUGCGGCGUGGGAUGAACAUCAAAGCGAUCUUUGUGAUCCACAUUGUUGUUACAUUUGCAACGAUGAUGUGGCCUAUGAAGCAUUGCUUGGUCUCUUGUAUACGGAACCUAAUGUGGGCAUGGGUCUCUUAAGAUCUUGAAUCUGCCCUCGUUAAGCGUUCUCGCUUCUCCAAAACGAUCGUCUGACCAUGUCUUGGCUUGACCUUGCAUGGCAGGCUACGUUGA
rnacentral:misc_RNA from 1 species